UGGGGCUGCCCCCUGUGGGGCUGCCGUGUGGCACGGUGGGUCGGGGCUUCCCUGCACAGGCUGUGGUGUUGCUGCAGGGCAGCGGAGGAGCUCUGUGUUGGUGCAGUGCUAUGGGGCCCUUGGGGCAGAGGUGCUGCCAGCCCCCCACUGGGACACAGACCCUCUAUAGGUGUCGUGGGGCUGCUGUAGGAUCCCCCCAGUUAAACACAGACCCCCUAUAGGUUCCUUGGGGCUGCUGUAGGAUCCCCCCAAUUAGACACAGACCCCCUAUAGGUUCCUUGGGGCUGCUGUAGGAUCCCCCCAAUUAGACACAGACCCCCUAUAGGUUCCUUGGGGCUGCUGUAGGAUCCCCCCAAUUAGACACAGACCCCCUAUAGGUUCCUUGGGGCUGCUGUAGGAUCCCCCCAAUUAGACACAGACCCCCUAUAGGUUCCUUGGGGCUGCUGUAGGAUCCCCCCAAUUAGACACAGACCCCCUAUAGGUUCCUUGGGGUUGCUGUAGGAUCCCCCCAAUUAGACACAGACCCUCCAUAGGUGCCAUGGGGUUGCUGUAGGACCCCCCACUUCCUAUAGGAUCCAUCCCAUUUAGACACAGACCCCAAUAGGUGCUAUGGGGUUUCCUUGGGACCCCCCCAUUCAGGCACACGCUCCCUAUAGGGCCAGCCCCACAGCAGCCUCUCCCAGCCCCACAGCUGCCGUUUGCACUGCGGACAGAUUUCUUUCUUGCUUUGCUUUUUUUUUUUUUCCUUUUUUUUUUUUCCCUUUCCUGUCUAGACAGCCCCAAUUAGCUGUUCAUUAAGAAAAGGGGGGGCUGGGGUGGGUUGGGCUAAUUAAAGCGAUGCUGCAGGGCUGGCACGGCGGCUCCCACGCCCUGGGGCACCUUAUGGGCAGCUGAGCCCCCCCUGCUUUCAUCUCCCCCCCAUCCCAUCCCACACCCCAAUGGUAGGAUGGGAUCCACACCCCACGGACCCCAUCCCACAGCUGUGGGGUGCCUGGGGAGCAGAGCAGGGGGCACAGAGCCCAUCGGAGAGAUGAGUGGGAUUUUUGUGUGCCGUGGGAGAAAAACCCUUCCCAAUGGGGUUUUCAUCCCAGAGUGGUAUUGUCCUCUUGGUGAUGUUCUCAAGUCCUUGGGGUCUGUUCCCCAGUGCCUGCUGUAGGUCACUGUGCU